ACUCCAAGCAAUGAGAGAAAUGACACCACGUUUGAUGAGAGUACAAACCAACCAAGAAUGCCUAUACUAGAAUUUCAUCCAAGUCAAAUUAUUGCUGAUCCAGGACUUAGAAUACCAAUAGAAGAUUAUGCCCCUGAAAUUAGAAGUGAUGUGAGAAGAGCUUAUUUGUUGAACAAGCGAAACAAAGCUAUUGGGCAUAAAUUCAAGAAGACAAAGGAUGGUAAAAUUUGGAGGUCCUUUCAACGUGCGUGGUUUGACAAUUUUGAUUGGUUGGAAUAUAGUGUGGAUAAGGAGGCUGCGUUUUGCUUUCAUUGCUUCCUUUUCAAGAAACCAUCCCAAGCCAUUAGAUUUGGCAAUGAUGUUUUCACAAAAAAUGGGUACACUCGUUGGAAAACAUGUUUAGCUAGUUUUGAAAAGCAUGUUGGUGGUCAAUCUAGUUACCACAACAUUGCUAGGGGAGAUUGUGAUGAUUUCAACAAUCAACGAGCAAGUGUGGCUACCAAAUUCCGAGUGUACAGCAAAGAGGCUGAGAUAUCUUAUAAAAUCCGCCUAACUGCAUCAUUGGAUUGUGCAAGGUAUCUCAUAGCACUAGGUGAAGCUUUUUGUGGGCAUGAUGAAUCCUCCACUUCCAUCAACAAGGGCAAUUUUAGAGAGUUAUUGGACUGGUAUAAGGACAAGAAGGAAGAUGUGAAGGAUGCAUUUGAUAAGGGGGCUAGAAAUGCACAAAUGAUUUGUUCUGACAUCCAAAAGGACCUUUCUACAGCUUGUGCGAUGGAGGUAACCAAAGUUAUUAAGAAUGACAUUGGACAUAAGAAUUUCUCAAUACUUAUUGACGAGGCUAGAGAUUGUUCAAUAAAGGAGCAAAUGGCGGUGAUUUUGAGAUUUCUAGAUGAUCAUGGAGUGCUCCAAGAGAGAUUCCUUGCCAUUAAGCACAUCACAGAUUGAGGGGAGUUCAAUGGUUUGCAAAAAUUGGUUAGAGAUGAAGCUCCGUAUGCAUUCUAUGUUCAUUGCUUUGUUCACCAGUUACAAUUGGUGGUUGUCACCGUUGCUCAAUGUAGUUGCUAUUCUGAUUUAUUCAAUUAUAUUCCCUUGAUAGUGACUCAAGUGUGUUCAUCUUGUAAAAGGAAAGAUGCAUUACUUGCCAAACAUCAAGAUGAAUUGUUAGAUUUGAUGGAGAACGGAAAGAUUUCAGCCGGUACCGGGUUGCAUCAAGAAUCUAACAUAACAAGACCAGGAGAUACUCGUUAGGGCUCACACCCCAAAACCUUGCUUCGUAUAUUCACAAUGUGGAAUGCUGUGGUGGAUGUGCUAGGAAUUGUUGUGGCUGAUGCUCGGGAACACACAUGCCAAGGUGGAGCUAGAGGUUUGCUUAAAAACAUGAAAUGCUUUGAAUUUGUGUUCAUCAUGUUCUUCUUAAUAAACUUGUUGAGCAACACAAAUCAACUAUCCCAAGCUUUGCAAAGGAAGAAUCAAAAUAUUGUUGAGGCCAUGCGUUUGAUCUUGGAUGUGAAACAAAGCUUGCAGGACAUGAGGGACAAUGGUUGGGAGCCUUUAUUUUGCCAAGCCAAGAACUUUUGUGAAACACAUGAUAUUGAUGUGCCAAACAUGGAUGAUCUUGUUGGAACAAUGGGCCAAUCUGUUCGCACUAAGAAUAAGGUGACUCGACUUCACUAUUACAAGGUUAGCAUAUUCAAUGUUGCCAUUGAUGCAACUAUCACAGAGAUGAAUCACCGAUUCAAUGAAUUUUCCACCGAGUUAUUAGAUUGCAUGUCUUGUCUUAAUCCAGCAAACAACUUUGCAAAGUUUGACGUUGACAAACUUAUUCGUCUUACUGAAAUUUAUGAUGAGGACUUCACAGAAGCUGACCGGUUGUUGCUAAGAGUACACCUCCCCAGAUUCCUUAUGAACAUUAGGAGAAGUGACGAGUUUAAUGGAUGUCGGGAUAUGUCCAUACUUGCUCGUUUGAUGGUUGAAACAACGAAACACACAACUUUCCAUUUGGUAUAUCACCUCAUUGAGUUGACACUCAUUUUUCCUGUAGCAACUUCAUCAGUUGAGCGAAUAUUUUCAGCAAUGAAGAUCAUCAAGACAGAUUUGCGCAACAAACUAUCAGAUGAUUGGCUAAAUGAUUUAAUGGUGUGCUAUUGUGAGAAAGAGAUAUUCAGAAGCAUUCACGAUGACAAAAUCAUGAUAUAAUUUCAGAAAAUGAGUGAUCAGAAAGGACAUUUGCCUUAUGAGUUUAAUGUGAUUCCUUAG
rnacentral:rRNA from 1 species